rnacentral:rRNA from 1 species
UACAGAGGGGGCAAGCGUUAUUCGGAAUUAUUGGGCGUAAAGGGCGCGUAGGCGGCCUGGCAAGUGGAAGGUGAAAUCCCUCGGCUUAACCGAGGAACUGCCCUCCAAACUGCUUGGCUUGAGACCGGGAGAGGUGAGUGGAAUUCCCAGUGUAGCGGUGAAAUGCGUAGAUAUUGGGAGGAACACCAGUGGCGAAGGCGGCUCACUGGACCGGAACUGACGCUGAUGCGCGAAAGCGUGGGGAGCAAACGGG